rnacentral:rRNA from 1 species
GUGAACGCUGGCGGGAGGCCUAACUCCUGCAAGGCGAACGGCAGCACAGUAAGAGCUUGCUCUUACGGGUGGCGAGUGGCGGACGGGUGAGGAAUACAUCGGAAUCUACUUUUUCGUGGGGGAGAACGUAGGGAAACUUACGCUAAUACCGCAUACGACCUACGGGUGAAAGCAGGGGAUCUUCGGACCUUGCGCGAUUGAAUGAGCCGAUGUCGGAUUAGCUAGUUGGCGGGGUAACGGCCCACCAAGGCGACGAUCCGUAGCUGGCCUGAGAGGAUGAUCAGCCACACUGGAACUGAGACACGGUCCAGACUCCUACGGGAGGCAGCAGUGGGGAAUAUUGGGCAAUGGGCGCAAGCCUGAUCCAGCCAUACCGCGUGGGUGAAGAAGGCCUUCGGGUUGUAAAGCCCUUUUGUUGGGAAAGAAAAGCAGCAGGUUAAUACCCCGCUGUUCUGACGGUACCCAAAGAAUAAGCACCGGCUAACUUCGUG